rnacentral:tRNA from 1 species
AAGAUGUUAGUAAAACCAUUACAUAGCCUUGUCAAGGCUAAAUCACAGAUGAAAACCCUGUACAUCUUA